GACGAACGCUGGCGGCGUGCUUAACACAUGCAAGUCGAACGGUGAAGCGCCUUCCUUUUUGGUGGGUGUGGAUGAGUGGCGAACGGGUGAGUAACACGUGAGUAACCUGCCCCCUUCUUCUGGAUAACCGCAUGAAAGUGUGGCUAAUACGGGAGAUUCUGGGUCUGUCGCAUGAUGGGUCUGGGAAAGAUAUUGUUUCGGUGGGGGAUGGGCUCGCGGCCUAUGAGCUUGUUGGUGGGGUGAUGGCCUACCAAGGCGGUGACGGGUGGCCGGCCUGAGAGGGUGGACGGUCACACUGGGACUGAGACACGGCCGAGACUGCUACGGGAGGCAGCAGUGGGGAAUAGUGCACAAUGGGCGAAAGCCUGAUGCAGCGACGCCGCGUGAGGGAUGGAGGCCUUCGGGUUGUGAACCUCUUUCGCCAGUGAAGCAGGCCUGCCUCGUUUGUGGGUGGGUUGACGGUAGCUGGAUAAGAAGCGCCGGCUAACUACGUG
rnacentral:rRNA from 1 species